rnacentral:tRNA from 1 species
UUCCUGGUGGCUCAGAUGGUAAAGCGUCUGCCUACAAUGUGGGAGACCCGGGUUCAAUCCCUGGGCUGGAAG